rnacentral:rRNA from 1 species
AUGGUGUUCUGCCGAGUCUGGCUGUUAAUCUCAACCAGCAACAUCAAGAUCAAAUCACCUGUUACUGUCGAACAAGAGAACAUCGCAGUUCAAGCAGUGGGGAUCAAGAAAGAUUUCAGUGUUGAUCUAGUGUUUGACCAGGAGUCAGUGAGGCCAAUCCUCCGAUCUUCACUUGACGGGCACAACGUCUGCAUCCUUGCUUUUGGCCAAACUGGGAGGAGGACCUAUACAAUGGAAGGAACUAGGGAUAACCUUGGCCUUGUGCCUCGAGCGAUCCAGGAACUGUUUUCUCAUGAUGCUCAAGAUACUUCAUGCCUUGGGAGGAUACAUGAUGCUUGA